rnacentral:rRNA from 1 species
CUCUUGACACCCAGCGAACUUUCCAGAGAUGGAUUGGUGCCUUCGGGAACGCUGAGACAGGUGCUGCAUGGCUGUCGUCAGCUCGUGUUGUGAAAUGUUGGGUUAAGUCCCGNAACGAGCGCAACCCUUAUCCUUUGUUGCCAGCGAUUCGGUCGGGAACUCAAAGGAGACUGCCGGUGAUAAACCGGAGGAAGGUGGGGAUGACGUCAAGUCAUCAUGGCCCUUACGAGUAGGGCUACACACGUGCUACAAUGGCGCAUACAAAGAGAGGCGACCUCGCGAGAGCAAGCGGACCUCAUAAAGUGCGUCGUAGUCCGGAUCGGAGUCUGCAACUCGACUCCGUGAAGUCGGAAUCGCUAGUAAUCGUGGAUCAGAAUGCCACGGUGAAUACGUUCCCGGGCCUUGUACACACCGCCCGUCACACCAUGGGAGUGGGUUGCAAAAGAAGUAGGUAGCUUAACCUUCGGGAGGGCGCUUACCACUUUGUGAUUCAUGACUGGGGUGAAGUCGUAACAAGGUAAGCGUAGCGAG